rnacentral:rRNA from 1 species
AAAGAAGAGAAGUAGGAGGGCCAAAAUGCAAAAGGUGCAGAUGAGAGCAGGGGAACAAAAUCCCUAGAUCGCCUCCAUUCCCCAUCGGGCCUGGCACACAUCUCUCUCCCUCAUCCCUCCUUCUCCAUCACCGGCCGCCGCCGCGGCCAGGCCGGCGUGGCGGCUCGCCAUCCAUCCACCAGCAACACCAUCGCCUCCAGCCGCCACUCCACCCCGCACCACCAGCACCACCCCAUCCAUUCGAGCGCCACCACCAACACCCACGCUCCAGAUCGAAGAAAGGAGCGGCGCGACCCACCAGACAGCACGUCUGGGUACCCGCGCCCCUGCUGUUGCUCUUCUAUCUUCCCUCGCCUUGCUGCUGCUCCUCCACUUCUCAACUCAAACCUGCUGCUGCUUAUUCUUCCCGCGUCCCCGCUGCUGCUCUUCUUGCGCCUCUGCUGCUUUCCUCUUCUUCUCUUAACCCUGCCGCUGCCCUUCUUCUUUCCUGAAACCUGCUGCUGCACUUUUCUCUGAACCUUAACUUGUUGCUGCCACUUCUUCUUCUCUGAACCCAACGCUGCUGCUGCUCCCUUCUUGCCCAUGCCUCUGCUGCUGCCUCUCUUCUCCUACACCUUUUGCUGCUGCCAUCUCUCUCUCUCUCUCUCUCUCUCUCUCUCUCUCUC